GUCGAGAAUAAUUCACAAUGGACGAAAGUCUGAUGGUGCAACGCCGCGUGGAGGAUGACGGUCUUCGGAUUGUAAACUCCUGUCAUCCGGGAGUAAGACCUGGCUGUGAAUAGCAGACAGGGUUGAUAGUACCGGAAGAGGAAGGGACGGCUAACUUCGUGCCAGCAGCCGCGGUAAUACGAAGGUCCCGAGCGUUGUUCGGAAUCACUGGGCGUAAAGGGAGCGUAGGCGGCGUGGUAAGUCAGAUGUGAAAUCCCGGGGCUCAACCCCGGAACUGCAUCCGAUUCUGCCGUGCUAGAGGAUUGGAGAGGUAGCUGGAAUUCUUGGUGUAGCAGUGAAAUGCGUGGAGAUCAAGAGGAACACUCGUGGCGAAAGCGAGCUACUGGACAAUAUCUGACGCUGAGGCUCGAAGGCCAGGGUAGCGAAAGGGAUUAGAAACCCGGGUAGUCC
rnacentral:rRNA from 1 species